CCAGCUCGCUGCCCUUUGUCUUGUUAAGACCAUUUAGCGGUUUUGUGUAAUGAAUGAACAGGUCAAAAGUGCGCGGAAAGGCAGGCGGAGCAUUAUGCUGGUAAGGAGAAGUUUGAUGAAAGUCAGAAGUAUGUUAAAAAUGGAUAUGAGGACUUGAGUAUAUUUCUUCAAAAAGAUGGUGAGAGAUGUUCUCCGGACCAAGCCUUGCGGAGAAAAAAAUCUUGCAGUAAUAUUUGGGCACUCCUGAUAAAAGUUCCACUUCGCGACAUAUUUGUGGGGACAAGAUCUGAGUCUUGCUGCAGCGGCAGUGCCAGGUGUUACACUUUUUGUUGCAGGUGACCAUAACACACUGAAGGCGGCUGUAAUUUGACACAGAUGGCUCAUAAACUGACACACAAAGAUUUGGCAACAUCAGAGAUGUGGAAACAGUAAAAGGGAUGUUCCUCUCCAGAGCUUGAGCUUGACAACUCAUACAUAUCUCCUUUUUGUUUGAAAUAUCCUGUUUAAUUGGUCAAUUUAUGUCAUAUUUACUUAUAUUUUGACACAUUAUAGACUAAAUAAUAUCCUUACAACUGAAGACAGGUCUCAGUAUGCUUGAAUAUAAUUUAUGAAUAAUAUUAAAGAAAGUUAUUUUACAAAUACAAACGUAAACAUUUUAAUAUUUGUUGAAGACGAUCCAGAGCAGGACAUGAACGUCCUCACUGAUUAUUAUUAUGUCCCUGAACGCAGCAGUCAGAGCCACCUACAUGUGAAAACGUUGAGAAGUAAUAAUACAUUACAGUUUCUGUUUUCACAGCCUGCUCACGUGUCUGAAAAAUAAAACUGAUGGCAGAGAGGUUUGGUUGGAGUUGAAUUUAUGGUCUGGUUGAUUCUCAGCUCAUUUUAAAGCAACAGCUCCACCUGCUGGACAAACAUUCAAAGCUUGAUCCAAACAGCAGCCGAGCUCUUAUCCAGCUGCUUCAAAGUGA